rnacentral:rRNA from 1 species
UACGGAGGGUGCAAGCGUUGUCCGGAAUCACUGGGCGUAAAGGGCGCGUAGGUGGCUCUAUAAGUCCGUUGUGAAAGUCAAAGGCUCAACCUUUGAAAGCCGAUGGAUACUGUAGAGCUAGAGUACGGAAGAGGCGAGUGGAAUUCCUGGUGUAGCGGUGGAAUGCGCAGAUAUCAGGAGGAACACCAAUAGCGAAGGCAGCUCGCUGGGACGUUACUGACACUAAGGCGCGAAAAGCGUGGGGAGCGAACAGG